UCCCUUGUAUUGGAAAUCUUUUCUAUUUGUCUCUCUGGGAUCAUGUCUGCAGCCUGGAGAGCAGGGGCUGCUCACACCGGUCGGUGGCUGCAAAUCGACCUCCCCCCAUGCAGCUGACCCACAUCACAAACCCCAAAUGAGGAUUGCCCUGGGGGAAGGAAAUGGGGGUGGCAAGAAGGAAAGCCCACCUUCUUGCAUGGAAUUUCUCAUUUGCCUCGCUCCGUGCCCGCCCAAAUCCAGCAGAUUCCUCCCGAAUCGCAGCGGGGCUCCCCACCUCUUUUCCCCCAGAUGCCUCCACGCUGAGCAGAGGAGCUCCAAGCUCCUGCUGGGUGUGCUGCUCCUGGAGCCUCGGCACUUCCCAAAUGAAGCCGCUCGAGGGGACCUCGCCGGGACAGGGACCGGAGGAUGCGGCGCAGGGACCGGCCCAGGGGCGCCGGCGGCGGCAGCGGCAGAGGAUGAACUGCCCAGCCAGCCCCUCACCUCGGAGGGAGCAGCAGGCAGAGCUGUCCGGGCUCACCACAUCUCCGGGUGAAGGCAGGAUGAGCAGUCCCCAGGGACACCCAAGUGGGGUUUUGGCCAGGAGUGAGCAGAGCGUGGAGCAAGUCAGCAAGGAGCCAGGCAGGGCCGUGCAGGAGCAGGCUGUGCACCCUGGGGACAGUGACAGGACUAAACAAGAUGCAGAAACCCUGGAGGAGCCGCUGCUGAAUCUCCCCAGUGAGCUCUCAGUGCUGGACAGACUUGGUUUGCACAGGGCGGCUUUGACCGAGCAGGAUCUGGAGGCAGCCUUUGCCCACCUCGCCCUGGCUUUUCGCUGCGACGUGUUCACCCUGCAGCAACGGGUGCAGGUGGAGAAACGGGCACGGGACGCAGCAGAGGAAAACAUCCAGGAGGAGCUGGGGCAGUGCCGGGUUGUCCUGGAGAGGCUGGGCCGAUCCUGCACCAAUGCAGGCUGCAAGGAGAUGCUGCAGCAGCUGCAGCACAGCCUGGCCGUGCUGUCAGCGGGCAUCGAGCGGGCAACCAGCGCUGCAGAGAAGCUGGGGGCUGUGCACCAGGAGGCACGGAUGAGCCGGGCAGCAGAGGUGAUGGUGCAGCACGUGGAGAAGCUGAAGCGGCAGCAGGCGCGGGAGCACGCGGAGCUGGAGGAGAUGAAGCGCCUGAUCCAGCAGAACUCCCGCAACCGGCAGCUGGCAGAGACCCAGGAUGAUGUGGAGCCACGGCUGAGACCUCACCCCCUGAAGAGAACUUUCCAGCAGGGGUCUGCCCGCCGCAGGGUCAGCAUCGCCGUCAUCCCCAGGCAGCUCUUGGUGCCAGCCCUGAGAGCCGAGCAGCCCCAGCAGGUGCCCUGGAGCCAGAGGGGGCCCAGUGCUGGCCCAGCAGCCAGAGGACUGAGCUGGAGCCACAGGGCCAGGACAGCGCCGUGACCGGGAAGCUGGUGGCAGAGGCAGAGGGCAGAGGCUCAAACACAGGGAAGGAGGAGCCAGAACAGCUUGGGCUGACGUCCAAGGGGUCUGCAGCGGAGCUGUGGCGUCCCUGGCUCUUCUUCCCACAGCACUACUGGGUUUUCUUCUGGCUGCUUCUCCUGAGCAUCACCUUCCUCCUCCUCAUCCGUGUCCUGGAGCUGCAGCGGCUGCAGUCUGCAG